UGGUGGGGGUGGUUCAACUUCUUCGCGCAAAACAAAGCUGUAUAAUGGAUGCCUUGGCUUCUAUCACGAUGAAGAACAUGGUGAAUGAUGAAAUUGGGUGUGAAUUGCAAACCUUUGUGAACACUAUGUCUUUGAACGCGAUCCUGCAUCCAAC
rnacentral:rRNA from 1 species